CCUACGGGAGGCAGCAGUGAGGAAUAUUGGACAAUGGUCGAAAGACUGAUCCAGCCAUGCCGCGUGCAGGAAGACGGCCCUAUGGGUUGUAAACUGCUUUUGUUUGGGAAGAAACCUUUCUACGUGUAGAAAGCUGACGGUACCAUACGAAUAAGCACCGGCUAACUCCGUGCCAGCAGCCGCGGUAAUACGGAGGGUGCAAGCGUUAUCCGGAUUUAUUGGGUUUAAAGGGUCCGUAGGCGGACUUAUAAGUCAGUGGUGAAAUCCUGCAGCUCAACUGUAGAACUGCCAUUGAUACUGUAAGUCUUGAAUUCGGUUGAAGUGGGCGGAAUAUGGCAUGUAGCGGUGAAAUGCUUAGAUAUGCCAUAGAACACCGAUUGCGUAGGCAGCUCACUAAGCCUGGAUUGACGCUGAGGGACGAAAGCGUGGGUAGCGAACAGGAUUAGAUACCCUGGUAGUCCACGCCGUAAACGAUGAUUACUCGACAUUAGCGAUACACGGUUAGUGUNAUAGACGAAGACAUUAAGUAAUACCACCGUCGGGUAGGUACGGUUCGUCGAAGAAGUAGAAACGUUAAAGUUAAGUUAAGUUAGUACGGUCGUAGAGUACGUACGACCGACGGACGACCGACGGGAGGGGAGGGAGG
rnacentral:rRNA from 1 species